GACGAACGCUGGCGGCGUGCUUAACACAUGCAAGUCGAACGGAAAGGCCCUGCUUUUGUGGGGUGCUCGAGUGGCGAACGGGUGAGUAACACGUGAGUAACCUGCCCUUGACUUUGGGAUAACUUCAGGAAACUGGGGCUAAUACCGGUUAGGAGCUCCUGCUGCAUGGUGGGGGUUGGAAAGUUUCGGCGGUUGGGGAUGGACUCGCGGCUUAUCAGCUUGUUGGUGGGGUAGUGGCUUACCAAGGCUUUGACGGGUAGCCGGCCUGAGAGGGUGACCGGCCACAGUGGGACUGAGAUACGGCCCAGACUCCUACGGGAGGCAGCAGUGGGGAAUAAUGCACAAUGGGCGGAAGCCUGAUGCAGCAACGCCGCGUGCGGGAUGACGGCCUUCGGGUUGUAAACCGCUUUCGCCUGUGACGAAGCGUGAGUGACGGUAAUGGGUAAAGAAGCACCGGCUAACUACGUG
rnacentral:rRNA from 1 species